rnacentral:lncRNA from 1 species
CUUUUUAAAGACCGGUUUAACUCUCCCUCAUGCUUGAGGGAGAGACUGGUGCGGCUGUGAAUGAACCUGGUUCCUUCAAGAAGCCUUUUCUGCACAGUUAGCGCAACUGCAUUCCUGAAGGGGACGUCCAUGUGAAGACGUGUGUAAGCUAUUCCGGGUGUGAUCGUUGAGCAUUAAUCUUUUUAUGAAGGUCACUGGACGGUAAGGAGGGACAGCUGCUAGGACAGCCCUGGGUUCUCCCAGGACCAAAAGGUUAGAUAAACUGUUUUUAGGAUUUAUUCAGGGCAGUGAUUUCCAUGUCAGUUUAAUUACCUUCACGUCUUACAAGACCGACAAUCAGGGUACCAAGACAUCUUAUGAAACCACAGGCUCUGAG